rnacentral:rRNA from 1 species
AACGAACGCUGGCGGCAUGCCUAACACAUGCAAGUCGAACGGAACCGUCGGGUCUAUGGGCGCACGUGGGCGUAACACGGGGUAAGCUACACGUGAGUUCGGAAUACCUCCCCGAAGGAGAUCCUAAUGACACUUAGGGUCAUACGGCCAAAGAUUUGUCGCCGGUGGGUGGGCGCGCGUUAGAUUAGCUGGUUGGGAGUGUAAAAGCCGACCAAGGCGACGAUGCAUGGCUGGUGUGAGAGGAUGAUCAGCCACACUGGGACUGAGACACGGCCCAGACUCCGACGGGAGGCAGCAGUGGGGAAUAUUGGACAAUGGGCGCAAGCCUGAUCCAGCAAUGCCGCGUGAGUGAUGAAGGCCUUAGGGUUGUAAAGCUCUUUUACCCGGGAUGAUAAUGACAGUACCGGGAGAAUAAGCUCCGGCUAACUCCGUG